rnacentral:rRNA from 1 species
AUUGAACGCUGGCGGCAUGCCUAACACAUGCAAGUCGAACGGCAGCACAGUAAAGACUUCGGUCUUUAUGGGUGGCGAGUGGCGGACGGGUGAGUAACGCGUAGGAAUCUGUCCUGGAGAGUGGGAUAACCCGAGGAAACUCGGGCUAAUACCGCAUGAUAUCGAGAGAUCAAAGGCAGGGGACCCUUCGGGGCCUUGCGCUCUAGGUUGAGCCUACGUCGGAUUAGCUAGUUGGUGGGGUAAAGGCCUACCAAGGCGACGAUCCGUAGCUGGUCUGAGAGGAUGACCAGCCACACUGGGACUGAGACACGGCCCAGACUCCUACGGGAGGCAGCAGUGGGGAAUCUUGGACAAUGGGGGAAACCCUGAUCCAGCGAUGCCGCGUGUGUGAAGAAGGCCUUCGGGUUGUAAAGCACUUUAGGUGGGGAAGAAAGGUAAUGAGUGAAUAACUGAUUGCUUUGACGGUACCCGCAGAAUAAGCACCGGCUAACUCUGUGCCAGCAGCAGCCGCCG